rnacentral:rRNA from 1 species
UACGAAGGGGGCUAGCGUUGCUCGGAAUCACGGGGCGUAAAGGGUGCGUAGGCGGGGCUUUAAGUCAGGGGUGAAAUCCUGGAGCUCAACUCCAGAACUGCCUUUGAUACUGAGGAUCUUGAGUACGGGAGAGGUGAGUGGAACUGCGAGUGUAGAGGUGAAAUUCGUAGAUAUUCGCAAGAACACCAGUGGCGAAGGCGGCUCACUGGCCCGUAACUGACGCUGAGGCACGAAAGCGUGGGGAGCAAACAGG